rnacentral:rRNA from 1 species
AGAUUGAACGCUGGCGGCAGGCCUAACACAUGCAAGUCGAGCGGUAGAGAGAAGCUUGCUUCUCUUGAGAGCGGCGGACGGGUGAGUAAUGCCUAGGAAUCUGCCUGGUAGUGGGGGAUAACGUUCGGAAACGAACGCUAAUACCGCAUACGUCCUACGGGAGAAAGCAGGGACCUUCGGGCCUUGCGCUAUCAGAUGAGCCUAGGUCGGAUUAGCUAGUUGGUGAGGUAAUGGCUCACCAAGGCGACGAUCCGUAACUGGUCUGAGAGGAUGAUCAGUCACACUGAACUGAGACACGGUCCAGACUCCUA